CCUCGCUAUAUAUUUUCCUCUUUCGGCAUAGCUUGCAGCCUUAAACCCAGGAUUUUUUUGCUCCCUUAUCAUCUCUGGCAAAAACCCUAGCCUCCUCUUAUUACAUUCGCCAAAAUGACAGGGGAGGCAGUUAACCCAAAAGCAUACCCGCUUGCAGAUGCUCAGCUCACCAUUACUAUACUUGAUCUUGUUCAACAAGCAGCCAACUACAAGCAACUCAAGAAAGGAGCCAAUGAAGCUACUAAGACCCUUAA
rnacentral:misc_RNA from 1 species